CUUAACCUAUGCCAGCUGUUACAAAAUUGAUGCUGGUUUAUCUCCCUUCAGGGCCAAUCCAUGGCUGCCGCCAAUUCAGUUGCCCAUUACCAAUCCAGUCACCUGCCUGAGAGGUGACAUUUUUUGAUGAGUUCUUUUUCUUUGGCAAAGUGAAUUUUUGCUGAAUUUUUAUACCCUGUGGAUUUAAAAGCUAACUUUUGAAGGUCAACUUAUAAAAGUUAACUUUUCAAGAAACACACCGGAGUAACCACUGCUGCCUGGUGCCCACAGAGGAGUAGCACCCGCAAGGCCGAUCACCACCAAGGGCC
rnacentral:sRNA from 1 species